rnacentral:rRNA from 1 species
GGUUGUCGUCAGCUCGUGUCGUGAGAUGUGGUUAAGUCCCGCGACGAGCGCAACCCCUAUUGUUAGUUGCCAUCAUUCAGUUGGGCACUCUAGCGAGACUGCCGGUAAUAAACCGGAGGAAGUGGGGAUGACGUCAAAUCAUCAUGCCCCUUAUGACCUGGGCUACACACGUGCUACAAUGGUUGGUACAACGAGUUGCGAGUCGGUGACGGCGAGCUAAUCUCUUAAAGCCAAUCUCAGUUCGGAUUGUAGGCUGCAACUCGCCUACAUGAAGUCGGAAUCGCUAGUAAUCGCGGAUCAGCACGCCCGCGGUCGAAUACGUUCCCGGGCCUU